rnacentral:rRNA from 1 species
CAAUACAUGGCGAACUGCUCAGUAACACGUGGACAACCUGCCCUUAGGUUGGGUAUAAACCCGGGAAACUGGGUAUAAUACCCGAUAGGUCUCGAUUGCUGGAAUGCAUCGAGAUUUAAAGCUCCGGCGCCUAAGGAUGGGUCUGCGGCCUAUCAGGUAGUAGUGGGUGUAGCGUACCUACCAGCCUACGACGGGUACGGGUUGUGAGAGCAAGAGCCCGGAGAUGGAUUCUGAGACACGAAUCCAGGCCCUACGGGGUGCAGCAGGCGCGAAAACUUUACAAUGCUGGCAACAGCGAUAAGGGAACUUCGAGUGCCAGGUUACAAAUCUGGCUGUCGAGAUGCCUAAAAAGCAUUUCAUAGCAAGGGCCGGGCAAGACCGGUGCCAGCCGCCGCGGUAACACCGGCGGCUCGAGUGGUAACCGUUAUUAUUGGGUCUAAAGGGUCUGUAGCCGGCCGGAUAAGUCUCUUGAGAAAUCUGGCAGCUUAACUGUCAGGCUUUCAGGAGAUACUGUCUGGCUCGAGGCCGGGAGAGGUGAGAGGUACUUCAGGGGUAGGGGUGAAAUCUUGUAAUCCUUGAAGGACCACCAGUGGCGAAGGCGUCUCACCAGAACGGACCUGACGGCAAGGGACGAAAGCUAGGGGCACGAACCGGAUUAGAUACCCGGGUAGUCCUAGCCGUAAACGAUACUCGCUAGGUGUCGGCCACGGUGCGACCGUUGUCGGUGCCGUAGGGAAGCCGUGAAGCGAGCCACCUGGGAAGUACGGCCGCAAGGCUGAAACUUAAAGGAAUUGGCGGGGGAGCACCACAACGGGUGGAGCUUGCGGUUUAGUUGGAUUCAACGCCGGAAAUCUUACCGGGACCGACAGCAAUAUGAAGGCCAGGCUGAAGGCUUUGCCGGAUUAGCUGAGAGGUGGUGCAUGGCCGUCGUCAGUUCGUACUGUGAAGCAUCCUGUUAAGUCAGGCAACGAGCGAGACCCA